GCGUCGGUAGUGCAACGGUCAGCAUACGCACCCGGCAAGACUGAGAUCUGGGUUCGAACCCCGACCGACUUG